ensembl:lncRNA
GCCCAGCGGCCCAGGUUGCCCGGGGGGGGCGGUGGUCGACGGAGUGUAGUCCGCUCUCCCCUAGCUCUCCCCUAGCUGGCGCCCGUGAGCGCAUAUGCGCUGCACCCGCUCAGGAACACACAGGGCUUGGUGUGAGUUGUUGUCGGUUUGUUGUUUUUACGCGUUAAGGGGCUGCGCGUCGCGUCUGGCAGAAAGGAGAACGCACCCUUUACCCGAGCCAGCCAAUGGGGCCCCACCGUGGGAGCCUGCCUGCACUUACUCCACGGGACUGCGGUCAAGUGAGCCGCCAUUCGUUCAUCCGUGGUUAUAUGGAAAGCCAAGAAGGCCACAAUCCGGCCCUAGAAUGGCACGGUAAAAGUGCAAAACCGCACGGAAACCGUACGGAUUCCGUACGGAUUUGGCAAGAAUCUUGCACUUUUACCGCGCCAUUCUAGGGCCGGAUUGUGGCCUUCUUGGCUUUCCAUACGGUUAAGCCAGCCGUCACACAAAAUCUUCGUGCGCCUUUACCGUUUCUCGUCUCCUUUGCCGUCUCUCGUCUCGAGCUUCUCGCUCACAACCAAUCACGUUCUUCUGGUCGCUAGUUCUUAAUUGAUUUCAGCUGCGUCUCCCCCGCCUCUCCUCAUAAGGCGCCCCCACCGUGCCGGAUGUUAAUCGUUUAUUUUGCGUUGGAUUGCGUGGGCUGAACAAUCCGGACAUCGUGGCCACCGACGUGGACCCCGCGAACCACGCACACCGACCACCACACUGGGAAGCGUCCUCUGCUCACUGUGGAAGCAGCAUGGAAGAACUGCAGCAACUCUGAUGGAAACUACAGGACCGCCACGCUGUUGAACACAAACUGUUGUAGGCCUACUACAAACAGAGGCGGUCCCACUCGGUUAAAGAUCUUGUUGUCAAUGCGGCAGACCGCUGGACCUGGACGUCACCUUCUGCAGAUACUUAACUGCCCUCAGGGAAUCCACGGAUAACUUGAAACAUGUCCGACUCCACAUGUCCGAAAAAUCCAGGAUGGAAACUUGUGGAAGGAAGAAAAGUUCUGUUUUUGCUCAACCCAUAACCCCACUGAGCCCUUCUGUGGAAACCUGUCUGACUGACCCUACUGACUGGGGGCCUGUUGUGUGUUUGGUUGGUCUGGUAGAAGGUUUGCUGCUUGUGAUCUGCAAGGUGGUCCUGGGUUAGAUGCGGUGUCUGACUUGCACACCACUCUCCCAAUUCUAUUCUUCUCUUUGCUACUUUUCUACUUUCAAUACACUUGCUGCUGCUGCUGUUGACCGCUGGUGGUGCAAUGUGGUUUUUAUUCGCGUAUGUUCUGUGGACUUUGCAUUUGUAUUUUAAUGAACACGUUUACUGCCCGUUAGACCUCGGAUUGGCAAACCUAAACUCCUUCACUGGCAAAAUGUAGAUGCAACUUAAAUGCCCAAAUUAACACUUCAAUAUUCGUUUUGCGUAUUUCACCAAUAGCUUCGGAACUAGACGGACCUCGUAUAUAAUUUGCUCUUCAAAGAUGCGGUCAGGCGCCCCUCCGUUAUAUAACGUUUUCUGCCCGGUACGAAAUAGACCGACCAAUAGCAACCCUUUAGGCCAUCUAAUGUGAGGUUAGAUAUACGCAACAUGUAGAGGUGUUUCAACAACAAAGAUGGAAGUUAGAACUAAAGACUGUAUAUGCUCACUAAAAGAACGAACGACUACUACUCAAAGAUUUUGAGGAAUAUGUAUUUCUGCAUCACCCGUUCCAAUGCUAUGAUUAGUCGAGGCCUAUCCAAUAGCAUCGACCCAUUUUAUAUCGCGCCCUUUAGACGCGCCCCUUGGAAAUUGAACAACGCAUUUCAACGCAGAGGAUCCAGAAGGAUUUCACAACGAGUCCAUUGGAAGAUAUCAAGGAACAUGAACAUCACCAAUGAAGGAGAGUAACGUUUCCACUUGCUAUAGGAAUUUAGUGAAGCACUAAAUAGUUAAUAAUAAUAAAAUGUGGUCACCAUUUAUUGACUCGUUGGGUAAGACUUGCUUUACUAAUAUAACCGCGUUAAAACUAUUCAUUUACUUUUCUUGUGUAGUUUCCCACUAUUCAUUAAAUGUUUUAUAGAAGUACUAAUGUGUAUAGUUCUAUUAAUUACAUUUUUAUAACAAUUAAUCAUUAUACAGGAUUUGAACAUUUUCUACCCAAGCUCAUGCGUCCCAAAUAAUUUAUGAACAGUGGUUUGUUUUUGUUCAGGAGCGGCUUGUACUCCCAGAGGCUUCAACAGAGAGGGUCUGGAGCUGGGAGCUGCAGGUGGAUGGUGGCCAGGAGCCGUUCAGUCCUACAGGAACGACGGUAGAGGUGAUGGAGGUGCUCGCCAUGAGGUCCGUGGCGGUCGUCUGGAGGUGCUCGUCUGGAGAUCCGUGGCGGUCGUCUGGAGGUGCUCACCUGGAGGUCCGUGGCGGUCGUCUGGAGGUGCUCGCCGUGAGGUCCGUGGCGGUCGUCUUGAGGUGCUCGCCGUGAGGUCCGUGGCGGUCGUCUGGAGGCGCUCGCUGCAGGUGGAGGGAAGGCCGAGAGCCGUGCAGCCCAAGGGAUGCAGAACGAAGGACUGAGGCGGAGGCCAGCCUGGAGGCGGAGGCCAGCCUGGAAGUCCUGGAUGCGUCCAACCUGGAAGGGGCGGCAUGGAGGGGCCAGGUGGCGGCUCCUCAUCCAAAGGGCCCAGAGGCGGCCAACCUGGAAGGCCUGGAGACGGCGGAGGUCCUGGAGGCGGACGCCAACCUGGAGGUCCUGGAGGCGGUGGGCCUGGAGGCGGCGGCGGCAGUGGCCAUCCUGGAGGCGGACUACCUGGAGGUCCUGGAGGCGGAUUGUGGAGACCAUCCUGGAGGGCCUGGAGGUGGCGUCCACAUGGUGGUGGCCGGCCUGGAGGCAGUGGCCAACCUGGAGGUCCUGGAGGCGGUGGGCCUGGAGGCGGCGGCAGCGGCCAUCCUGGAGGCGGACUACCUGGAGGUCCUGGAGGCGGAUUGUGGAGACCAUCCUGGAGGGCCCGGCGGCGGCGUCCUGGAGGGCCCGGAGGCGGAGGCUCCUCAUCCAAAGAAAUGAGGCGACGUUGCGGAGGUCCAGGCGGUUGGCCCGGUGGAGGUCCUGGAGGAGACGGCCUGGAGGUGGAGGACGGCUGGGGGAUCCGGCGGUGGAGGUCCGAAGGCGGCUCGUGUUUAGACCAACCAGCUCCUCAUCCAUGGAAGGAUUGAAGGAGUCACUGGGGAUGAAGAUCACUGCUCAGGGGCUGACGACCCCCCCUCCUCAUCUUUCUGGAGAAGGUGUAUAAAUCUACAGCUGAUGUGAUUAAAGUUCUGCAGUUCAGAUCCGCUGAUAAAUGGUCCCAUACCGUAUCCACAGCGUCCUCAUGGUGCAGGCGGUCAAACCUCCACCUCUUUGAAGAGACCAAGCAGCUUGAUGACUGACUGGUUCCUUAUACUCAGGACCUCGAGCAGAGGAUAGACCUAAGGCCUACAGCGCAGCAGACUAGAGACUCCAUGUGGAACCGGUUCAAUUAAGUUGACCUCUCCUUCAGGCAACUUAAAGGGAGACCAGAUGUGCGGCAGCUGGGUGUCAUGGUGCAGAGACCCAACGCUGUACUGAACUACACCAGUGUGUCCUACUCCCCAUAAACCCUGAGGAUCCCUGGCUACACCAGCACAUUAAUCCACACCCAACAUUAACACACAGUGCACACUCUAUAGAGCUUGUAAGUCCGCCCCUUGCGGCGGGACCUCGUGAGAUCGUAAAAUAUGACUGGGUUUCAAUGGAGAGAAAGUAAAUAUUUUCUCCAUUAUGUUGCACCACAUUUUGGGGGAAGAAUGUUUGAAUCAAUCUUUGUCAUUUAUUUCUGUACUCCAUAUCUGUAAUCCCAGCUGUUGUAUUUUAACACGGUAGCUGGGAACCCUCUUUAUAGGGAGUGACUAGAGGGACGAGGCUGGAAGCAAACCUGAGCCUGGAUCUUAACCUUCUUUCUAAACCUAAUGCCGCAAUUUAACCUCAAAUAAAGUGAGGCCUAAAGUAACUUGACUCUCUUGCCUAAACUCGCUUGCAUAAAACCUGAACUUGCUUGGCUAAACUCGCUUGCCUAAUACCUGAACUUGCUUGCCUAAACUCGCUUGCCUAAUACCUGAACUCGCUUGCCCAAUACCUGAACUUGCUUGCGUAAACUCGCUUGCCUAAUACCUAAACUCGCUUGCCUAAACUCGCUUGCCUAAACUCGCUUGCCUAAAUACCUGCCUAAUACCUGAACUUGCUUGCCUAAACUCGCUUGCCUAAUACCUAAACUCGCUUGCCUAAACUCGCUUGCCUAAUACCUGAACUUGCUUGCCUAAACUCGCUUGCCUAAUACCUGAACUCGCUUGCCUAAUACCUGAACUUGCUUGCGUAAACUCGCUUGCCUAAUACCUAUUACUCGCUUGCCUAAUACCUGAACUCGCUUGCCUAAACUCGCUUGCCUAAUACCUGAACUUGCUUGCAUAAAACCUAACUUGCUUAGCUUGACUCGCUUGCCUGUACUCGCUUGGCUAAACUCGCUUGCCUAAUACCUGUAGUCCCUUGCCUAAAACCUAAACUUGCUUGUCCAAACACGUUACACAAAGUUAACCAUCCAUAAUCUUUAACCCAAACCAGACUUGUCCCUGGGUCGCUCCACUUUAAUUAAGAAGUUUCUUCUUUUACCUCAUCUGCGUUUUGAGUUUCAUUCUUUGAGGGCUUGAAGUGCUUUGGAGGAUAUUUGAACCUUUGUUCGCCAAAUGUUCAGUGUCCUUGAAUGUAAUGUCUAUGGUCUGACGAUAAUCUGACCUCUUCAUGAAGCAGAAUGUGUGUGUGAAUGUUGUCCCGUGAGCUCCAGGCUCUCUGUGGGCCUGUCAACGUCUCUUUAGCAAAAGGUUGGAGAGUGAAAUUCAUUUUUGUGCCAUUUUCAUGUGUUCCUGAGUAUUUCAGACCUGUGGUGUUUCACAUGAGACCUUAAUGGGAACAUUUCUUUUUCUGCCUGCAUACGUAAUGCCUACAUUAGUAGGGUGAUCACUGUUGAUCCCAAUAUUGUUCAUUAACCACCUCAUUCUUGUAUGAUUUUUUGAUUGAUUACAAAUCAUGUAAUUUGAGCAUAUUUGCAAAUGGCUCCAAAUAUCAGAUUGUGUAAACGAAUGAAAUGUAACCUGCUUGAUUUAAAGAAAAUAAAACAUCCAAAUAUUAUAAACCUGUUUUGUGUUGCUCUCUUACAUGUGGAAAUAAAACGCAGAUAGAUAUGUUUAGCUCUGAUUUGCUGCCUCCUUUUGGUGUGGUACUGGGAUUUGUUUAAUAUACUAUUAUCAUUUCCAGGAUAAGUUAAUAACCUAGUAUAGCCUACCCGGAAAAGAAGGGAUAUGAUGGCCAGGGCAGGCUGUUUCGGUGUCCUGUUA